ensembl:lncRNA
GGCAGUGGGUUACUGCGAUUCGCGUUGGGCCGGAGAGCUUUAUCACCCUUCCCCGGAUAAAGUCGCAGUAAACCACGGCCUCUCAGGGCUUAUUACUUUUUUAUAAGUACAGUCAAAAGAAAAUUUGUAAAUUUGGUGUGAAUUAUUUAUUUAUUAUAUUAUUAUUAUUAUUAUUAUUAUUAUUUACAGUAGUGAUGGGAACCAGGCGUCGCCAUGACUACAACACAGAUAUAGACACUUUAUUUACCAUCCAGAACCACCAGAGAACCUACACGAGUCUUCUGAGCUUAUAUGGAAUGUCGAUGAUGGAAAACAGUGGAAAAUCUGGAAUAAUGAGUUUUCUUUGGGGACUAUUUUGCCGCACAGCGCCCUGCAUGUCUCCCUCCACCAUGAAUGGAGUUGAAGUUCUCUAAACUCUCAUAAAACAGCGUCUCGGUCAUCAGGCAGUGAAUUCAGAACCAGUUCAUGUAGGAACUUUCUGUAGGAGCUUUUAGAGGGACGUCUGGUUCCUAUCACCACCACUGGGAGCAGCUCUGACUCGCUCACCAAACCGCUCUGAAUGACUCUGUUUACAUCUCAACCAUUUAAUUAUGGGGAAUUUUAAUCUUCAGUAUUUAAACACACAAACUAAAUAGUUUGAAUGCUUGUUUGCCCUCACUGUGUUGUUCUGCUCUCAUUUAUUUGCUUGUGUUUGCAUUUACAGUCAACACAAUGUGAGCAUGCAGACAAUCCCACAGAGCCUCGUCCACCUUCAGGCUGGUUUAAAGGGCAAACGCAGGAGUUUUCAGUUGAUCCUGAGCAGCGCGCGGCCGGAGCAGAUGAAGGUGGGGUUUGUUGUGGUGGGCUGGAUGGAGUGAGAGUCUCAGUGACAGUGCGGCCAGAGACGGAGCGGAGCAGAGCAUGGAGGCGGCGCCGCGCACACUCCGGAGCGCUUAUUAACACCGACACGGCACAAACGGGGCUUUACUGGCGGAUUUCUCACACUCACAACCCCUGAAUCCGAACCUGAACCCGAACCCGAACCCGAAGCACCACCGCGCAGCGGCUCGUGGACAUGCAGCUUCAGGACGAGCGGCGCGGAGCUGCGAAGCUUUGUUGUGUGGAAGGAGAAGAAGACGGGCCUUCCAGGAGGUCCGGCUAGCGGGCAUUAGCUGCUUCACCCCGAGCCAAACCGUCUAAUUCAACCCAGCCGCUCGCCUCGCCGCUGGAAGGGAGAACCGCGGGUUCCUGAGCGCCGAACUGAAGAACCUAAAGCCAGCUGUUCCUUUGACAUGGCACCUGACAGCUAGCUUAGCUUAGCUUAGCUUAGCUUUAGCUUUAGCUUGGCGGAGCUGCGGUUCUGGUUCCGCCGCCCGUGAACAGACAUUUCACUGUCGGGUCUUCUGUCUGGUUCUGUGGCGAUGGUUCCUGCGUCUUAGUCGAGCUUUAUCAGUCAUGUUUUUUAAAAAAGCCUCUUUGUUUUGAGUUCGGCGGGUUUCGCUGACGCUAAGCUAACGCUAAGCUAACAAUGAUGUAGUCCGUCGAGCCUGCUUCGCGAGCUAAUGCUAACGCUGGCUAAUAGAGCAGAAUAGCCAGGUCAGAGGGUUUUAUGUCCUGAAAAGAUCAGCUGGUCUGUUUUGUUUAAUUUGAGGGUUCACGGUCAGCAUUUUAACGAUUUAAUGGCUAAUUAAACUGACCGUGCAUGCGAGCUAGCUGACGGGUAGCUAACCUAGUAUGCUCAAAGCAGCUAGCAUAAAGGAAUUUUAGCUUUUUAGUCGACAUAUUUGUCAGAGUUGAACUUUUUUGGCUUGUAACUGGGCAAAGUAACCUCACCAAACCGCCAAACCAGCUGGCUGAAUAUUCACGACGGCCAGGCUUUUUUAACUGGCCGGAGUCGAGCCUGGGACUCAGUAAAUCAGACUGUUCGGGUCGAAUAUUCGGCUGGGCAGCGAGUGUUAACUGGCUGAACUGGUCUGAGUGACUUCACGAAACCAGCUGGCUAAAUAUUUGCGACAUUCGCCGUUUUUAAACUGGCCGUACUCGAGCCUGGGACUCGAUUAAUCGCCGCUCGAAGCGAAUAUUCGGAUCCAGCUUUUGGCUUCAGAGAAAGCGCAUCGUAACAGCAUU